rnacentral:rRNA from 1 species
UACGGAGGGUGCAAGCGUUAAUCGGAAUUACUGGGCGUAAAGCGUGCGCAGGCGGUUUGUUAAGUCCGCUGUGAAAUCCCCGAGCUCAACUUGGGAAUUGCAGUGGAUACUGGCAAGCUGGAGUAUGGUAGAGGAAGGUGGAAUUCUCGGUGUAGCAGUGAAAUGCGUAGAGAUCGGGAGGAACACCAGUGGCGAAGGCGGCCUUCUGGACCAAUACUGACGCUCAUGCACGAAAGCGUGGGGAGCAAACAGG